UACGAAGGGGGCGAGCGUUGUUCGGAUUCACUGGGCGUAAAGGGUGCGUAGGCGGUCGGGUAAGUCUGAUGUGAAAUCUCACAGCUUAACUGUGAAACUGCAUUGAUACUAUCCGGCUCGAGGAAUGGAGGGGGAGACUGGAAUACUUGGUGUAGCAGUGAAAUGCGUAGAUAUCAAGUGGAACACCAGUGGCGAAGGCGAGUCUCUGGACAUUUCCUGACGCUGAGGCACGAAAGCCAGGGGAGCAAACGGG
rnacentral:rRNA from 1 species